UGAGUAACGCGUGAGCAACCUGCCUAUUAGAGGGGAAUAACAGUGAGAAAUCAUUGCUAAUACCGCAUAAGCUAGUAGUACCGCAUGGUAUAGCUAGAAAAGGAGAAAUCCGCUAAUAGAUGGGCUCGCGUCUGAUUAGCUAGUUGGUGUGGUAAAGGCAUACCAAGGCAACGAUCAGUAGCCGAGCUGAGAGGCUCUACGGCCACAUUGGGACUGAGAUACGGCCCAGACUCCUACGGGAGGCAGCAGUGGGGAAUAUUGGGCAAUGGGCGCAAGCCCUGACCCAGCAACGCCGCGUGAAGGAAGAAGGCUUUCGGGUUGUAAACUUCUUUUAUGAGGGACGAAGAACGUGACGGUACCUCAUGAAUAAGCCACGGCUAACUACGUGCCAGCCGCGGC
rnacentral:rRNA from 1 species